CGGUAAAACCAGCACCUCAAGUGGUCAGGAUGAUUAUUGGGCCUAAAGCAUCCGUAGCCGGCUCUGUAAGUUUUCGGUUAAAUCUGUACGCUCAACGUACAGGCUGCCGGGAAUACUGCAGAGCUAGGGAGUGGGAGAGGUAGACGGUACUCGGUAGGAAGGGGUAAAAUCCUUUGAUCUAUUGAUGACCACCUGUGGCGAAGGCGGUCUACCAGAACACGUCCGACGGUGAGGGAUGAAAGCUGGGGGAGCAAACCGGAUUAGAUACCCGGGUAGUCCCAGCUGUAAACUAUGCAAACUCAGUGAUGCAUUGGCUUGUGGCCAAUGCAGUGCUGCAGGGAAGCCGUUAAGUUUGCCGCCUGGGAAGUACGUACGCAAGUAUGAAACUUAAAGGAAUUGGCG
rnacentral:rRNA from 1 species